rnacentral:lncRNA from 1 species
GUUGGGGGAGCACCCGUUGAAACCACUGGGCCAGGAAUGAGAAAAACGCUUUUGCAUAAAGGAGGAUUUGGUUCACUAAGUAGUGCACGGUGCUUGCUGUCAAAUGCUAACAAGAAACACAGGCCUCCUCUCUCUUGGCCGGAGCUGGGGUUUGCGCCUGUCUCUUUGGCUCUGUUCUGCACUGUGCUUUGAUGUGGCACCUUCUAAAGUGUUUUCAUUAUGGGGAGCGCUGCUUCUGAGGGCGCGCCCAGCCUAAUUCAUGCACAUGCGAUUCAUCCUCAGCACCCAGCCGGCCUGGCCCACCUGCGCCCUUUCCUGCUCGCUGUCUCCUCCUACUCUAGCAAGACCUCUGGAGCUGGGUGUGUGUGGGAUCCCCCUGGCGACCUGGAGCUGGACCCCUGCACAUGGCCAUCCUUGAGAUGUGUGUGUCUCUCUCGGCAGAGCAUCUAAGCCACACGUGCCUGAGAGCCACGAGGGAGCAGUUGCUGGGCAUGUCCAAAGACUUUCUCAGGGACUGGGCAGACAGGGUCCCUGGUGCUUUCUUAGUGGAGCGCCACCAAGGAGAUGGGUUUGGGGCAGAAGAGCUGGCAUAGGCUGCUGGUGCAGUGCCCGGGACCCCUGGAUCCCUGGAGGGAACCUCCUUCCAGAGAGCUUCCUGCCUGUGGGCCCAAGUGUGCACUUCCCUUUGAUUCCCCACUUUCCUUUGUUUUUCUCUUCAGCCAGCUCUGAUUGGAUUCACCACAGAUUAACAUUUUCCAUUAUACGUUAUAAUGUGUUUUUUUUUUUAAAACCAAAUCUCCCUUCACAGAUUGCUGUCUUUAUAAUACAGGAAUGAUUUCUCAGUCACUUUAAAAGUCCUGCUUCAUUAGCUUGCUGACUGUUUGGUAAUUUGCAAAGUCACUUUCACAAGUUUUAAUACUGCCCGGUUGAGAAUCACAGUAAUAAAUGUAUUAGAU